AUCAUGUAGCGCCAGCCACACCAGGAACAGAAGGGUGCCGGGUACCUUCCGCAUGCUUGGUAUUCUCCCCGCGGGGCUCUGACCGCUGCCGCUCUCAGGCACCUGUCUUUCCUCUCCGUCCCAGAAUGGAGCCAAGACAAGGGAAUAAACGAAAUUCAAUAGUACACGGAGAUCGGGUGUCUGGGCAGCGUCUUGGAAAAACUAUCCACUACAGUACAGGUCAAGUGAAGUUCUUCUGCUGAUAUGUUCUGCUACUGCAUAAGAGACGGAAUCUAUGUUGCCUCGACUGGUCCUGAACUCCUGGGCUAAAGCGAUCCUUCUGCCUUGGCCUCCCAAAGUGCGAGGAUUAUAGGUGUGAGCCACCCAACCUGGCCUUUGCCAGUAUUUUUAAAUCCAAACACCUAUGCAUGGUGCUUACUAAUAACACAGUGGUAUUCUAAACAUUUUUCACCUAUUAUUUAAUCUUUAUUAUUAUCACCAUGUUACAGAUAAGGACCCUGGCUAAAUAGCUUACCCAACAUUACUCCGUUAAUAAAUGGUAGAACCUGUAUUUCACUCAAGCAGUCUGGUGUCCACGCGAUUAACACUAGACUAUGUUGUCUCUCAAAAACUCAUCCUGAUUACCAAGGCAAGUAUUUGUAAGUCUAGGCUAUUAUUAUAAAGUUCGAAAUUUGCCUACUUCACAUGCCAAAGACAUAAAGAAGGAAUUAUAGGAGUUGGCUUCAGAAUUUAGGACUUGACCUAAGCUAUUCAGAGAAACUCAGAACCAGGCUCUUUCUUGGAGUUUGCUUAUAAAUCCAAAAUCCUAACUGAAAGGCACCUACAAUGGUAAUAGAUGCUCUCUGCUCUACUGUCCAGCAGCUCUUCAAAGCAAGGUAAUCCCUUCCGGUAAUGCCAAUCAUUAUGGCGAAAGAGUCAAAAGAUGGUAAUUCAGUCUAUACUCCCAGUAGACUUUAUUUGUACAGAGCAGCUAUUUCAAUAUCUAAGUUCAACAUUGUUGGUGUUUUACUUGCUCAACAUUUGUCUAGCAGUCACAGAAACUGUUUUUUUUUUUCCUGAGACGGCAUUUCACCCUUGUUGCCCAGACUGGAGUGCAAUGGCGCGAUCUCGGCUCACUGCAACCUCUGCCUCCUGGGUUCAAGCAAUUCUCCUGCCUCAGCCUCCCGAGUAGCUGGGAUUACAGGCGUGUGCCACCACGCCCAGCUAAUUUUUGUAUUCUUAGUAGAGAUGGGGUUUCAUUAUGUUGGCCAGGCUGGUCUGGAACUCCUGACCUCAGGUGAUCUGCCCACCUUGGCCUCCCAAAGUGUUCGGAUUACAGGCGUUGAGCCACUGCGCCUGGCCCUUCCUUGUUGUUUGUACUCAUUUUUAAAGUUAUUCUAACUUGUAUUAGGCCAAAUUAAUGAAGAAAGGCUUAAGUUUUUAAAAUAUUAAAAAUAUUUUAGAUCUAUACCUAAAGCUAACACACAUACUAUAAUGAUGCAGUCUCCUAACAUGAGGUGAUUUUCUGAAACUAACUGGUUUUUAAGUGGGAAGGGUUUUGUCCUCCAGAAUUUUGUAUAAUGGUGGCAUAAACACUGGAAGGUAACUCUCAAGGUCUAAUCCUCAAGGUUUUUAAUUCCAUCAUUUCCCACAGGAAAACAAAUGGAAAAUCCACCAAGUUCUUGGUUUGUAUUUUGCAGCAUAUUUGAAGGAAUUUUAGGAACUGAAAUACCAGCAAACGAAUAAACAAAAAGUAUAACACCAUCAGUACUUACUAAAACAACAUCUCACAUUUCCAUAAGAGAAUUCAGUUACUGUUCUUUUUCCUUAAAUGGCUUUGAGCAUUGUCUUGCUGUUUGCAUAAGACUGUUUACUAACCUGAGUGUUUUCACAGAUUUGGGAAGCUUAGAUUUUUGAACGUUCCAGCAAACAUUCAAUUUGGUGUCAGCUUGACAUUAAGAUAUACUCCUUACACACAGCUCUACUCUAUAUUUCACAAUGUGCUCAGUUAAUCUACUUUGAUUCUAUUUUUAUAAAUCUAAAUAAUCUCCUAUUGUUUUGGAAAAAACUCUCCAACAGCUUUUUUCCCCCCUCUGCUCCCACACCACAGCAAUCAACAACACAGAAGACAACUUCUGCAACCCUAUCGGGAGAGGAGGGGUUCUCUCCACCACCAGUCCCCUGGAAGAAUUCUCAAAACACAGAAUGCUUGCCAAGUCAAUCCUAAGCCAAAAGAACAAAGCUGGAGGCAUCACACUACCUGACUUCAAACUAUACUACAAGGAUGCAGUAACCAAAACAGCAUGGUACUGGUACCAAAACAGAGAUAUAGACCAAUGGAACAGAACAGAGCCCUCAGAAAUAAUGCCGCUUAUCUACAACCAUCUGAUCUUUGACAAACCUGACAAAAACAAGAAAUGGGGAAAGGAUUCCCUAUUUAAUAAAUGGUGCUGGGAAAACUGGCUAGCCAUAUGCAGAAAGCUGAAACUGGAUCCCUUCCUUACACCUUAUGCUAAAAUUAAUUCAAGAUGGAUUAAAGACUUAAAUGUUAGACCUAAAACCAUAAAAACCGUAGAAUAAAACCUAGGCAAUACCAUUCAGGACAUAGGCAUGGGCAAGGACUUCAUGUUUAAAACACCAAAAGCCAUGGCAACAGAAGCCAAAAUUGACAAAUAGGAUCUAAUUAAACUAAAGAGCUUCUGCACAGCAAAAGAAACUACCAUCAGAGUGAACAGGCAACCUACAGAAUGGGAGAAAAUUUUUGCAAUCUACUCAUCUGACAAAGGGCUAGUAUCCAGAAUCUACAAUGAACUCAAACAAAUUUACAAGAAAAAAACAACCCCAUCAAAAAGUGGGCAAACGAUAUGAACAGACACUUCUCAAAAGACGACAUUUAUGCUGCCAAAAGACACAUGAAAAAAUGCUCAUCAUCACUGGCCAUCAGAGAAAUGCAAAUCAAAACCACAAUGAGAUACCAUCUCACACCAGUUAGAAUGGCGAUCAUUAAAAAGUCAGGAAACAACAGGUGCUGGAGAGGAUGUGGAGAAACAGGAACACUUUUACACUGUUAGUGGGACUGUAAACUAGUUCAACCAUUGUGGAAGUCAGUGUGGCGAUUCCUCAGGGAUCUAGAACUAGAAAUACCAUUUGACCC
rnacentral:lncRNA from 1 species